rnacentral:rRNA from 1 species
CCUACGGGCGGCAGCAGUGAGGAAUAUUUGUCAAUGGACGAGAGUCUGAACCAGCCAAGUAGCGUGAAGGAUGACUGCCCUCUGGGUUGUAAACUUCUUUUAUAAAGGAAUAAAACGAGGCACGUGUGCCUUUUUUCAUGUACUUUAUGAAUAAGGAUCGGCUAAAUCCGUGCCAGCAGCCGCGGUAAUACGGAGGAUCCGCGCGUUAUCCGGAUUUAAUGGGUUUAAAGGGUUCGUAGAUGGGUUGUUAAGUAAGUUGUGAAAGUUUGCGGCUCAACCGUAAAAUUGCAAUUGAUACUGGCAGUCUUGAGUACAUUUGAGGUAGGCGGAAUUCGUGGUGUAGCGGUGAAAUGCUUAGAUAGCACGAAGAACCCCGAUUGCGAAGGCAGCUUACUAAACUGUGACUGACAUUGAUGCUCGAAAGUGUGGGUAUCAAACAGGAUGAGAUACCCGGGUAGUC